rnacentral:rRNA from 1 species
GAUGAACGCUAGCGGCAGGCCUAACACAUGCAAGUCGAGGGAGAAACCCUUCGGGGCAGAAACCGGCGCACGGGUGCGUAACGCGUAUGCAACCUACCUUUCACAGGGGGAUAGCCCGAAGAAAUUUGGAUUAAUACCCCAUAAUAUUGUUGGAUGGCAUCAUCUGACAAUUAAAACUGCGGUGGUGAAAGAUGGGCAUGCGUCCUAUUAGCUAGUUGGAGUGGUAACGGCACCCCAAGGCUACGAUAGGUAGGGGUCCUGAGAGGGAGAUCCCCCACACUGGUACUGAGACAGGGACCAGACUCCUACGGGAGGCAGCAGUGAGGAAUAUUGGUCAAUGGUCGGAAGACUGAACCAGCCAUGCCGCGUGCAGGAAGAAUGCCUUAUGGGUUGUAAACUGCUUUUAUAUGGGAAGAAUAAGGCGUACGUGUACGUGAUGACGUACCAUAUGAUAGCUCGA